GAUGAACGCUAGCUACAGGCUUAACACAUGCAAGUCGAGGGGCAGCGGUAUCGAAAGCUUGCUUUCGGUAGCCGGCGACCGGCGCACGGGUGAGUAACGCGUAUCGAACUUGCCUCAUACUCGGGAAUAGCCUUGCGCAAGUAAGAAUAAUGCCCGUUGUUUUCAGAGUCCCGCAUGAGGCUUUGAACAAAGAUUUAUCGGUAUUAGCUGGCGAUGCCUCCCAUUAGCUUGUUGGCGGGGUAACGGCCCACCAAGGGAUCGAUGGUUAGGGGUUCCGAGAGGAAGGUCCCCCACAUUGGAACUGAGACACGGUCCAAACUCCGACGGGAGGCAGCAGUGAGGAAUAUUGGUCAAUGGGCGGAAGCCUGAACCAGCCAAGUAGCAUGCAGGAAGACGGCCCUCCGGGUUGUAAACUGCUUUUAGUUGGGAAUAAAACGGGGCUCGUGAGCCCCCUUGCACGUACCAUCAGAAAAAGGACCGGCUAAUUCCGUGCCAGCCGCCGCGGUAA
rnacentral:rRNA from 1 species